AAUGCUGAGAGAUUUUGUCACUACCAGGCCUGCCCUAAAAGAGCUCCUGAAGGAAGCACUAAACAUGGAAAGGCACAACCGGUACCAGCUGCUGCAAAAUCAUGCCAAAAUGUAAAGACCAUCGAGGCUAGGAAGAAACUGCAUCAACUAACAAGCAAAAUAACCAGCUAACAUCAUAAUGACAGGAUCAAAUUCACACAUAACAAUAUUAACUCCAAAUGUAAAUGGACUAAAUGCUCCAAUUAGAAGACACAGACUGGCAAAUUGGAUGAAGAGUCAAGACCCAUCAGUGUGCUGGAUUCAGGAAACCCAUCUCACGUGCAGAGACACACAUAAGCUCAAAAUAAACAGAUGGAGGAAGAUCUACCAAGCAAAUGGAAAACAAAAAAAGGCAGGGGUUGUAAUCCUAGUCUCUGCUCACUCAAAACUGCUCAACUACAUGGAAACUGAACAACGUGCUCCUGAGUGACUACUGGGUACAUAACGAAAUGAAGGCAGAAAUAAAGAUAUUCUUUGAAACCAAUGAGAACAGAGACACAACAUACCAGAAUCUCUGGGACGCAUUCAAAGCAGUGUGUAGAGGGAAAUUUAUAGCACUAAAUGCCCACAAGAGAAAGCAGGAAAGAUCCAAAAUUGACACCCUAACAUCACAAUUAAAAGAACUAGAAAAGCAAGAGCAAACACAUUCAAAAGCUAGCAGAAGGCAAGAAAUAACUAAAAUCAGAGCAGAACUGAAGGAAAUAGAGACACAAAAAACCCUUCAAAAAAUUAAUGAAUCCAGGAGCUAUAAAUUAAUGUUUUAUAGAGGAGCCUUCCAUUUCCAUUUUUAAACAUAUUUUAUUCUUUUUUUUUUUUUUUUUUUUUUUUUUUUGAGCCGGAGUCUCGCUCUGUCGCCCAGGCUGGAGUGCAGUGGCGCGAUCUCGGCUCACUGCAAGCUCCGCCUCCUGGGUUCACGCCAUUCUCCUGCCUCAGCCUCCCGAGUAGCUGGGACUACAGGCGCCCGCCACUGCGCCCGGCUAAUUUUUUGUAUUUUUAGUACAGACGGGGUUUCACCGUGUUAGCCAGGAUGGUCUCGAUCUCCUGACCUCGUGAUCCGCCCGCCUCGGCCUCCCAACGUGCUGGGAUUACAGGCGUGAGCCACCGCGCCCGGCCUCUUUCUUUUUUAAGAAAAAUGGAAGGAAAAAAAUAUUUGUGAGGAUUGUUGUCAUCGGGCACAAAAUAUA
rnacentral:lncRNA from 1 species